GUAGGUACUAUUAUUAUCCCAAUGUGAGAGAUGGGAAAACAGCUACAAGGCAUGUGACUUGUCCAGGGUCAUACAAUUAGUGUCCAAGGCAGGAUGAGGUUCAUUGCUCUAUUCAUUGUAGUCGCCUAUAGUAUAUUAAGCUCUUACUAGGUGCCAGGUAUUGUGCUAAGUGCUGGCGAACAAAUAUGAACAAAUAUAUGAACAAAAUAUGAACAAAUAGUCCCUGCCCUCAAGGAAUCUAAACUUUAAUGGUGGAAGAUUACACACACAUAUAAGAUAAAGAAGAAAAAAAAAAGGAAAGGAAGGUGCAUAUUCCAAGACAAGAUGGCAAAAUCUAGUUAGUGAAGUAUGAGUGGUCUACACCUUUCCUCAGAAUAGAGGCUCUUGGAAGAAUUCUAUUUUCCAAGCACGUACUAGCUCUGGCACACAGUGCUGUAAUUAUUCUAUGCUUUAGGAGCCUUUAUAGUCUUAGCAGUCUAUGUUCUAAUGGACUUCCUAGCUCUAGAAAUCUGUAUUCUAAGAUUGCUCGCAUCUCUCAUGUUCUCUGUCGAUUUUACCUUCUAACAUUCUACAUUCUGGAAGUGCUGUUCUUUAAUUUUAAAACAUGGCUCCUUGACUUUGAAAGGCUUACAAUCCAGCAGGGAAAUUUCGGAGAAAUCCAGAUUUUUUGGUAAGUCUUUCCCUUAGCUCUUGACUGCUUUUUUUCCCUGUUGUGUGGAAAAGAAAUCAUAUGCUCCUAGCUUUUUACAUAACCAGUAGACUGCAUCGAUCUGGGUUCAUUUACGUUCAAUAAAUAUUUGUUAAGUACUCACUAUGAACAAGGUCUUUCUAGUGAGAAGCAGUAUAAACAGAGAACAGGCCAAUCCUAAAACCAGAAAGUCCUGGAUUCAAAUCCUGCUUCUAACAGGUACUGUUUGACCCUGUUCAAGUUAUUUACCCUUCAAGCAAUCCCAUCAGGUGAGGGAUUCUUAAUCUUUUUGGUGUCAUGGACUCCAUUGGCAGGCUGAUGAAAUAUGUAGACCUAUUAUCAGAAAGUUUUAAGUUACAUUAAAAUGAAAUACUUGGGAUUGCAAAGGAAAGUAGUUAUAUUUAAAUAAUUAUUAAUAUUUAUUUUUUUAAUUCAUGGGUUCCAAAUUAGAAGUCCCUGCCUAUAUAUAUUACAGAGACGGUUUUGACUUGUGCUGAAGAGGAAACUGUUUCACCUGGAAGUUCUCCAUGCCAGUAGAAUCACAGGUCCUAUCCCAGUACUUAUGAAUAAAUCACUAUGGUUUAGGAUACAAAUAGGAAAAAGACAAAAAGAUAACAGUUCUUGUUCACAUGGAGCUUAUGUUUUAUAGAUUAUAAACUGGAAGAAGCAUAAUUCUCUUCUAACCAGGGCAAUCUCAUUUCUAACCAGGGCAGUUUUGCUAAAUGGACUUUGUGGUCAUUGAGGAAGGAUUAGAGAUCAUAGACAACUAGAUCUAAAAUUGCAAGUACCUUCAGAGGUUAUUGGUUCAACCUCCUUAUUUGAUGUGGACAGACUAGCUACUCAGUCAGAGAACCUCUUCUCAAUUUGAAAUCUGUGCCUGAAUGGAAUCACAAAUCUGGCAAAGAUUCUAGGGAGUGGAAAUGGGCAUUUGGGUCUCUGUGGUAGCCACAGUCUUUGGAUCUCCUGUCUCUGACAUGGUACUGUUGUGCUCCAUGGCAAUCCUCAGGUCUGGAAUGCUUUUGCAUUGAUACCUCUCUCCACCUGCUGAAAUCUCAUUAUUCAAGGUCCAAAUCAAAUACCACAUCCCCCACAAAGCUUCUCCUGAUUCUCCUCCCCUUUAGGGGAAAAUAAGUUAAAAGGAAACACUUCCUUGAAAAAUACUACUUGGUAUCAGCUUUUCUUAUAAUUCAUUGUACAUACUUUAUCUUGUCCAUCUUCCCUCUGAGACCACAAGCUGUAGAUGGAAGAGACCACGUCUACGGUCCUUCCUAGUGCCUCUCAUUAUGCCUUGGUCAGAGUAGGUACUAGAGAUGUAUUUGAUGAUUCAGAGUUUUUGAAUAGCCAUGUUAGUGUGGAGAAACUCCUGGGACCCCUCUCUCCAGAGCAGUUAAGGUGACAAUUUCAGCCCCUUCCCUGAAGGAAUAUGUGGAGCAGAGCCUGGCUGAUUGUGUCUCUUUGAAGCAAGGAAACACAAGAGGAGGGAGCCCCUAUGGGGGAACUGUUGAUGGGGCUCCUCGCUCAGAGGGGUUGGUGCUUGUUGGUUUUCCUGAGGCAGAGAAAACCAGGUUCUUUUCUCAUAGGUUUUUCUGAGAGGGAAGAAGCAUCAGCUGAUGAAGAGCUGGCUUUAUAUCAGUCAGCAGGCAGCUGUAGUCCUGCAGAAGAGGGAGAGCGAGGGAUUGUAUGCAUACUCACACACUGAGAGGAAAAGCCGAAAUCACAGCAGAGGGUGUGUGUGUGUGUGUGUGUGUGUGUGUGUGUGUGUGCUUUUGCACUCAUUUGAUCUUUUUAUAUUUUAAAAAACUCCACAAUUUAUAGUGGGAAAGCUCUUCAUUUAGUAAAAUCUGAGAGGCUUGAGAGAUCGGCUUGAUUAUGCUCCUUCCUAAAUGAAUGAAACAAGACUGAAAUGAAGCAUUUCUAGAGCAAAGUAGCCAUUCAGGGACCAAUUGUAAUCUUCCUCUGAGUAAAGGCGUUGAUCGUUUGGGUUACUAGGUUUUCAUUUGCUUGUCUGGACCAAAGCAGAAGCUAAAGAUACAGGUUUUCUCCUUGAGGUCUUGGUGUUUUAUAUGAUCAAAAGCUCUCCAGAAUCUCUAGAAAAUGAAAUUCAGUCAUCAGUUGUAGUCUCUCUCUGUCUCUUUCUGUCUCUUUCUUUCUCUCUGUCUCUUCCCUUUCUCUCUUCUUUCCUCUCUCUCUCUGUUUCUCUGUCUCUGUCUC